AGCAGCCGCGGUAAUUCCAGCUCCAAUAGCGUAUAUUAAAGUUGUUGCAGUUAAAAAGCUCGUAGUUGAAUUUCGAGAUCAAAUUGUUGGUCGUGCCUUGGUACGCACUGGCAUUAUUGGUUUCUCCCUUCUGACGAACCAUGAUGUCAUUAAUUUGGUGUCUUGGGGAAUCAGGACUGUUACUUUGAAAAAAUUAGAGUGUUUAAAGCAGGCUCACGCUUGAAUACAUUAGCAUGGAAUAAUGAAAUAGGACGUUUGAUUCUAUUUUGUUGGUUUCUAGGAUCGACGUAAUGAUUAAUAGGGAUAGUUGGGGGCAUUAGUAUUCAAUUGUCAGAGGUGAAAUUCUUGGAUUUAUUGAAGACUAACUACUGCGAAAGCAUUUGCCAAGGAUGUUUUCAUUAAUCAAGAGCGAAAGUUAGGGGAUCGAAGACGAUCAGAUACCGUCGUAGUCUUAACCAUAAACUAUGCCGACUAGGGAUCGGAUGAUGUUAAUUUUUAANGA
rnacentral:rRNA from 1 species